rnacentral:lncRNA from 1 species
CCCACUUUGAACUUAGAACAAAGAGAACUCUCCAUCCAGAGUUUGGAUAACUCUCCCAUCAAGGUUAACUGACAUUGAGAUCACCAUGUCUUCGCAACAUGAAACAAUGCGCACCAUGCAAAUACUCUUCUUUCUCCCAGAGAAAGCAUGUGAAUGCUUGGGCAACAUUUAGAAAUUGCCGAUGUGGCAUCUCCAGGAGACUUGCUUUUUCACACAUGGCCUGAGUUCCUUCCUUCCCAGCACGCCUGCCUGCCAAAUCUCAUCCCUACCUCUGCCUGAGGCCUCCAGAUGUUAGUAGUGAUGGAUGGAAACAGGACCAGGACUGAAUCCAUACGUGGUCACAGCACCACUGCCCCUGGUUCCUGGAGGCAGCCUGGAGAGGAAGCUUUAUUCCUCAUUAGUGAGAGAGCUGAUGGCUACAUGUUGACAUGAAGGACUCCUUUUGUUGUAUUCAACAUAAAGCCCCUUUCCCCAAACUCUUACUCUGGUUUCUUUAUUUUCC